rnacentral:lncRNA from 1 species
UUAUUCCAUAUUUUUUUUCUUAAAUUAUAACGCAACUCAAAUACAAAAGCCAUGGAAGCCUUCAACCACCGAACCCUGAUUGCUUCACCAUGAUUGUCCAGGUUGAGCAGCAUUAUUCGACUUGAAUUACAAUCCCGCUACACAUACACGCCGCUUUAACUGUUGGGUUACACGAUGACGUGGCAAAGAAAACUUAUUAAUGGGUAACAUGUCUUGAACCGGCGCAAAUUGAAGAAACCCGCUUACCCUCGCUUUCUUUCACUUUCUCAGUUGCCCCAAAGGCAGAAAACCCUCUCUAACAAACGAACUGAUACAAGGAGAUCUGCGGGUGCGCUCCACCAUAUUGAGAAGACGGUGAUAAAUAUAGUGGUCAUCUCCAUGGUUUUGUUUUCCACCCGAAGUUAAGCGCACGGUUGUGAGGAAAAAAAAUAUUUAGCCGCAAGAUUGGAGCAAAGUCGCCCGUUGCUGAGGCCUUCUUCCCCGGUGGAAUCUUGAGCAAUAUUAUGUAAGUAGAAUAUUUGGUCAUUUAUUUUUACUAUGGGGAAGUAAUUUAUGUUUUAAGAAAUGGAAAAAUCUAACUCUCACCCCUAUUUCUUCGAAGAACCCGACGUACUGGGCUACAAAGUUUCGAACUCCAUUUCGAAUAUAUACAAGUUUCGAAUAUAUGAUAAUCUGGGCUAGUGUUGAACAUAUGGCAGUCUAGGUUGCACAGUUUCGAACUUCAUUAGUAUGCCUUUCAAUCUCAAGUCAUACCGUUGUUUGGAGAUGGUGAAUGUACAUAAUUUGUGUGAAUAAUAAUCAAUAUGAAUAAAAUCUACUUGUAAACUGUUAGAAAUAUUUCUUUGAAGGGUUUGUGUAAUUUUUAAAUAUAAUCAUAAAUCUGGAGAGAAAUGUUUCUACCUACCAGUAAUAUGAUAAGGCAUAAAAGAGUUCAAUUUUGUCAAAAGCCUUUGAUGUGUGACCACAUCAAUAAGAGAAUUUGGACUCACAAUUGAAUUUGAUAGGCAUAAUCUCAGACAGAGUAUAUAAUGUUGAAGCCCUUUUGUUUUCUUAUGGUGGCAUGUAAAGAGUGGGUUAAAUGUGUAAGUUUGUUAAUGUUAUUAUUGAUAUGGUUCUUAACAUUCAUGUUUGGUUUUAAAUUCAAUUUUUUUGAGUAUCUUGAUUCUACCGAGCAAGGGGAUUUUGUUAAAAAUGUUGUUUAGUUGUUUAAUGUGGUGUAAUCUGUGUGUCGUUUGUGUGUAGUAUGCCGAGUAAGAACUCUGGUCUUUGUCAUAACUGUAAAGAGAAGGUCCACUUGUUUGCGGAUUGCCCGGACAAAAGGUGAUGCCCCUUGGGUAAAAGUGGAUUUGUGAAGUGCUUCGAGGUCGAGAGGGAGACGAAGAAUAAGGGAAGACUGUUCAAUUGCUGCAAUGCUAACUGUAAAUAUUGGGCAUGGGUCGAUGAGGGAGAAUCAAGCUAUGGAUCAAGUGAUGUUACCAUUAACUCGAAUAAUCAUGCAGCAAUCGACCAAGUUUAGGAGUUCUCUUGCAUGUUCUAGUCUCUUUGUCAUGUGGUGUCCGAGGAACAAGACAUUGAGAUUUCUUUGAACGUGACUAUAAGGAAGGCCAACGAAAGUGCGGGAGUUGAUGUGAAAGGGAAGGGGCCAGCAUGAGUAAUGGUUAUAUUUUCUUAUGAAAAGGAAGGGGCCAACAAAAUGUGUUGUGUUAUUUUUAUUUCAUGUGUAAUAUGUGCCGUUGGUGAGCCGAACAAGUCAUUGUAAUAUAUUUGCUUUCGAUGUUUGAAUCGCUAUGUUAACGAUGUCGGUGUUAAUAGUAGCGGACUAGAAUUUGUCUUGUUUGUUAUAUUAUUUGUGUUCUUCAUUGUGCUAAGAUAGAUUUAAGUGUUAUAG